GGCUUCCGAAUAAAUUCCUCUUGCUUGUUGCAUCAAGAAACGUCUUUGGUGAGUGAUUUGGGGCGGCGCCUUCCUCAGUAGCACUGCAGCCUCCCCAUCGUCUCCGCAGAAAACCACCACCGUGACCAGAUAAAGGUAGUGACUGACCCUGAGUCGCUGCCCUGAGAUCCAUCUCCCACCCACAUGCCCCCGCCUGGAAUGCGGUGGUGAUGAGAGCAGCGCUCUUUCAGAUUCCCACGGCUCCCAGCAGGCGGUUCUCCCUCAGCGGGCAUCGUUGGCUGGGAAAGGCAGCAAUUAAGGGGGAGCACAUGGGGCCCAUUUUGCUUUUGUCCUGAUGAGAAGGGCCAAGAGACUGAGGAGCCGUGGGGGCUGUGAUGGGGACCCUGACUAGGGCAGUGCCUCCAGCAGUCUUCCUCUUAGGAUAUUUCAGGGGAUCAGAAUCUUCACAGAUUCAAAUGGCCUCUAGAGAAAAAAAUUCCACUAACCUGUUUUGAUGUUUACCUUGUAAGGCCUUUCCUUUGGAGGUUCCUAGGGGUGGCACUGGAUACAAUAUUUGGUAUUGGAUCUGCAUACAAAUCCCAGUGCCAAAUGCUACAGUCCUUUUGCAGCUUAUGGGGCAAAUAUAUAGCACUAUGGGUUGACAGGGGGUCAGUCUGUAUUUCAUAAGGAAUCAUAUGGGCUGAAUGAAGAAAUGGCUUAAAAUUCACUGGGAAAUGUAAGUCAUUAUUGAGGGCAGGGCCUGGAACUAGGCACUUGGGAGAUAAAGGAGAUGGAUUCUUGCCUUGUCAGGGCUCCAGACCUAACAGAGAAAUGUGGGGAGUCUUCACAUCAUGGAUAGACACUACAGUUCAUGAUGCUCCAUUUAUAGGUUACAGCUAGAGUGGAGCUGGGGUGUGGGGCCUCCAAAGCAGGACUCAGUCACAUCCUGGGACAGGUAGAAUUACUGGCCCUGAUCCCCACCCCUCCCUGCACCCACACCCUUGCUGGAUCUCCCUUGCUUCCUAUCCCCUGGCACGGUGUUUGGCCAUGUGAACUGCUUUGACCUAUGGAAUGGGCAGAGAUGACAGUGUGCCAGCUCUGUGCCUAGGCUUGAAGAGGCCUGAUGGGUUUCUGGUUGCCUCCUUAAGCUUUUCUUGGGUACAUGCUGCCCUUCUGGCCUGGGUCCCAGAAUAAAGACACGUGGCAAAGAGCUGCCCUGGCUGAUCUGCGGAACAACAGUGAGAAGCAGAGCCAGCCUGGCCAGCACAGAGUUAGAGCUUUGCUGUGCCAGGCAGCCUGCAGACUGGUGAGAAUUGUUAUUCCAACCCACUGCAGUUGGGAUGGUUUCUUAUAAAACAUUAUUAUGGCAAUAGCUAACUAAUACAUGUAUUCACUCCUUUAUCAGGUGAUAGGUUCAGCUGCUGCAGCAGAGAUUCAACACAGCAGUGGGUUAAAUGAGAACGUUUACUGAUUUCUCAUGCAAUGAUUUGGUGAAGUACUGUAGUUCAUUGCUAGUUUGGUGGUUCAUGUGUCAGGGAGCCUAUUUCUGCUCCACCAUCCUUGCGGGGUGGCCCUCAUCCUACGAAGCCUUUAUACUGUUCACAGCAUUGAAAUCUUAAUUUCCUUCCACCCUGCAAGUCAAAACACUCCACAGUGUGGCACCAAAUGCUCAUCUCAAUGUUUCCCUCUAACACAGAGGCUCCUUGCCUUAAACCAUUAUUCCCGCUUUGCUUUAGGCUCAGGACUUCCCUUCUGCAUGGGUGAGUGAGUAUGCUGCCCCCACAUCCACCGAGUUGGUGCCCCAGUGCCAGCCUCCCAGGCUCACCAUCUCUCCCACCAGGACCUUGGGAGCCAAAGUUUGUUGCACCCACGGCUCCCUGGGAGUGAGAAGCCCUGAUCACCGUGGAAGUGGUGGCCUCCAGCAGUACAUAUGUCCAAGGUUAGGAAUCCAGGUAUGCCCCCCAGUCACCUGCCCUUCCUUGCCUCUCCUACCCUCCAGUCCUGCUGACCUCCAGCCCUGAAGAGGCCAAAGAACAUCUUCUUUCCAAGCCUCCUUGCCCUCCCAGCCAUCCUUCACAAGUUUAGUGAGAAUAAAGACCUUGUUAAACGGCUCCCUCUCCUUCAGAGAUUAACUCAGGAGGUGCGGGCCUGUGGGUUUGGAGGGUGACCUCCUCUCCUUGAACAGACUCUAGCCUGGCUGCUCUGCCCCCUUUUCUCAGUUCAACCCUGGCCAAUGCAGACUUGGACAAACACUAACAGUUUCUAACAGCUCAAGGCUAAGUCCCUAGAUGACCCCGGUCCCCCUUAAAGUUCCUGCCUGAGAAACCUCAAGGAUGCCUAAAGAAUUUGCUAUUUGUUCCAGCCAACACCAGAGAAGGGCCCUGCUUCCCAGCUUGUGAGAGUCAGUGGGAGCUGACUUUGGAAAGCCCAGUCAGCAAAUCCAGUUGGGAUUCAUGUGGACCAACCCCUCCAUUCCUGCUUUUUGUACUCUUUCACAGAGCCCCCGAUAUCUGCUCCCUGUGCUCUCUUUCUCCCUUUAAAAUGUCUGAUCACCUCUUUAGAAAUCCCACUUGAGUUUAGUGCAUGAUGGACUCUUUCCGCUGCACUAUUGCAGCAGUAUAUUACUGAUUGAAAUUUGUCUUUACUGCUUUAAGUAGCCUCUGGUUUGUUCAUUUUUGACAAGGGGAGGUAUCCGGAAUCAGCCUUUUAUUUGUUUUAUUUAAUUAAUUACUUACUAUUAUUUUUCAGGAUAACUCCUGAAAAAAUUUUAUUUUUUAGAAGUUCCAAGUGUUCCUCCAGUCACCUCUGGGGAUGAGUGCAUGUCACCAGCAUCCAGCACCCAGUCUGCUUUCCAGCUAGAAGGACACCUUUCCAGGUUUCUGGCUUAGCUAGCUCUUUUACAGAGACUUGAGCGCCCAUAAGACUACAAAAAAAGUAGGAUACCUCCAAGUACAGGCGGGGCCUUCUCACCAUGUCUGUAAUGUGGAGGAUGCUGAGUGGCACUAGUUGGCUCUUGACACCAAUCUCUACCCCCUUCUCUGCAGGUGCUGGAAGCCCAGGAACAUUUCACAGAUUCCUUUGACAGCAGAGUUCCACCAAUAAAAUGUACUUGUGUGAAAUCUGAAGGGUAGAAAGGAGGUGGAAGCCAUUCUUUCUUCCUCUGCGGCAACAGAUGUACAAGCUGCAUGUUGGCUUCAAUGCCCCCCACCAGUCACCAGGCAGCAAUGACCUCAGCAGUAGUUUCCAGAAGUUUCCUGGGUUCUGAGUGGCAGCAGCAACUGCCAGCCAUCAUGCUGUGAGGACAUUCAAUCACGGAGCACGGGGACAGACCUGUAUGAGGAGGACUGAGGCUCGCUCCAGCAUCCGGCACCACCGUGGGAGCCGUGUAAGUGAGCAGCACAGCUUGGAAGUGGACCUCCAGCCUGUCAAGCCUUCAGAUCUGCAGCCCUGGCAGACAUCUUGAGACCCUCAUGAAAGACCCAGAGCCACAACUACCCAAAUGAUUCCUGAAUUCCUGACUCACAGAAAUUGUGAGGAAUAAAUGUUUAUUGUUACUUUAA